GAACAUCAGUAUGGUUUCAGAAAAAAUGUUCAAAAUUCUAAAUUGUUAAAUAUGAACAACCGAGUAAGUAAAACGCUAAGAGCGAAUACUACAGGUGCAAGAAAUGCAAAACACACCAAGUGCCAUUUGCAGUAGUUUGUUUGCCAAAGGAGAACGGAAGCCGUCCUGACACUUACACCUACUGACAACUUACAUAUCCAACGUCUGUUCCAGGGCGGGGAUGUAUUGAAGACUGGCUUCAGACGACUGUUCGAGGUAGUUGAUAAGAUUGACAUUUUUAUUGGGGUUCUCCCAGGCGUCUUGAUGUACAGGACCUGUCCAAGAGACGAUAUCCGUACAGACGCGGGCGACAGCUCUUGCAUCUCCGGACAGGCACCUGACGAGUUCCCUUUCUAUUUCCUCGCAACCGUAGCCGUCCCGCUGCUGCUCUCUGCUAGCUUCCUCCUCCAUUUCUUAUCAUCACACCCUAGGGAUUUUGAAAGGGGACGCCGAAAAAUGACAACUGUUUUGUCGGAUAAAGAAAUUUUAUAUAACAGACACGUUUAUGUUUGUUUAUACCAAUGUGAUUGUCACCUGGUUUAUAAUUUUCGACUUUGAAGGAAUUGUUUUUCAAUUAAAUAAAAAUAAAACUGGA